CACGUAGGGCGCAAGCGUUGUCCGGAAUUAUUGGGCGUAAAGAGCUCGUAGGCGGUCUGUUGCGUCUGCUGUGAAAACCCGGGGCUUAACCCCUGGCUUGCAGUGGAUACGGACAGACUAGAGGUAGGUAGGGGAGAAUGGAAUUCCCGGUGUAGCGGUGAAAUGCGCAGAUAUCGGGAGGAACACCGGUGGCGAAGGCGGCACUCUGGGCCGGUACUGACGCUGAGGAGCGAAAGCGUGGGUAGCAAACAGG
rnacentral:rRNA from 1 species